GCUGGGCACAGUGGCGCACGCCUGUAAUCCCAGCAGUUCAGGAGGCUGAGGCAGGAGGACCACCAGUUCAAAACCAGCCUCAGCAAUGGCAAAGUACUAAACAACUUGGUGAGAUCCUGAUUCUA
rnacentral:sRNA from 1 species